AUUGAACGCUGGCGGCAGGCCUAACACAUGCAAGUCGAACGGUAGCACAGAGAGCUUGCUCUUGGGUGACGAGUGGCGGACGGGUGAGUAAUGUCUAGGAAACUGCCCGAUGGAGGGGGAUAACUACUGGAAACGGUAGCUAAUACCGCAUAACGUCUUCGGACCAAAGUGGGGGACCUUCGGGCCUCACACCAUCGGAUGUGCCCAGAUGGGAUUAGCUAGUAGGUGGGGUAACGGCUCACCUAGGCGACGAUCCCUAGCUGGUCUGAGAGGAUGACCAGCCACACUGGAACUGAGACACGGUCCAGACUCCUACGGGAGGCAGCAGUGGGGAAUAUUGCACAAUGGGCGCAAGCCUGAUGCAGCCAUGCCGCGUGUAUGAAGAAGGCCUUCGGGUUGUAAAGUACUUUCAGUGGGGAGGAAGGCGAUGGAGUUAAUAGCUUCGUCGAUUGACGUUACCCGCAGAAGAAGCACCGGCUAACUCCGUGUCAGCAGCCGCGGUAAUACGGAGGGUGCAAGCGUUAAUCGGAAUUACUGGGCGUAAAGCGCACGCAGGCGGUCUGUCAAGUCGGAUGUGAAAUCCCCGGGCUCAACCUGGGAACUGCAUUCGAAACUGGCAGGCUAGAGUCUUGUAGAGGGGGGUAGAAUUCCAGGUGUAGCGGUGAAAUGCGUAGAGAUCUGGAGGAAUACCGGUGGCGAAGGCGGCCCCCUGGACAAAGACUGACGCUCAGGUGCGAAAGCGUGGGGAGCAAACAGGAUUAGAUACCCUGAUAGUCCACGCCGUAAACGAUGUCGACUUGGAGGUUGUGCCCUUGAGGCGUGGCUUCCGGAGCUAACGCGUUAAGUCGACCGCCUGGGGAGUACGGCCGCAAGGUUAAAACUCAAAUGAAUUGACGGGGGCCCGCACAAGCGGUGGAGCAUGUGGUUUAAUUCGAUGCAACGCGAAGAACCUUACCUGGCCUUGACAUCCACGGAAUUUGGCAGAGAUGCCUUAGUGCCUUCGGGAACCGUGAGACAGGUGCUGCAUGGCUGUCGUCAGCUCGUGUUGUGAAAUGUUGGGUUAAGUCCCGCAACGAGCGCAACCCUUAUCCUUUGUUGCCAGCGAGU
rnacentral:rRNA from 1 species